rnacentral:rRNA from 1 species
CCUACGGGUGGCAGCAGUGGGGAAUAUUGCACAAUGGGCGCAAGCCUGAUGCAGCCAUGCCGCGUGUGUGAAGAAGGCCUUCGGGUUGUAAAGCACUUUCAGCGGGGAGGAAGGCGUUAAGGUUAAUAACCUUGGCGAUUGACGUUACCCGCAGAAGAAGCACCGGCUAACUCCGUGCCAGCAGCCGCGGUAAUACGGAGGGUGCAAGCGUUAAUCGGAAUUACUGGGCGCAAAGCGCACGCAGGCGGUCUGUCAAGUCGGAUGUGAAAUCCCCGGGCUCAACCUGGGAACUGCAUUCGAAACUGGCAGGCUAGAGUCUUGUAGAGGGGGGUAGAAUUCCAGGUGUAGCGGUGAAAUGCGUAGAGAUCUGGAGGAAUACCGGUGGCGAAGGCGGCCCCCUGGACAAAGACUGACGCUCAGGUGCGAAAGCGUGGGGAGCAAACAGGAUUAGAUACCCGGGUAGUC